rnacentral:rRNA from 1 species
GACAGAGGGUGCAAGCGUUGUUCGGAUUCACUGGGCGUAAAGGGUGCGUAGGUGGUGAGGUAAGUCGGAUGUGAAAGCCCUUGGCUCAACUGAGGAAGUGCACCCGAAACUGAGUGGCUUGAGUACUAAAGAGGGUCGCGGAAUUCCCGGUGUAGAGGUGAAAUUCGUAGAUAUCGGGAGGAACACCGGUGGCGAAGGCGGCGACCUGGGUAGAUACUGACGCUGAGGCGCGAAAGCGUGGGGAGCAAACAGG